AGACAGCAAGCCAAGUGGGCAGAUGGGGACUUCUGUCCUCUACAAACAGAAACCAACCACUACUGUCCCUUGCUACUUCCUCUUCUUGCUGAUGCGUGGUUCACGCAUGGCAUCAUGCUCUGAUACCUCCCCAGAUACAGCUUUCUGCCUCUCCUGCUACCAGGGCACCGUACCUAUUCUGCAACUGUGGACCUGUAGGUGGAGAAGGAACUGCUGUCCAUGUGCCAGAAGUCAUGUUAGUUAUUUUCAUCUCAUAAUUUCUAAUCAAUAUUGCAUUCAGCAUCACACCAGCUUGUGCUCAUCUAAGACUCUGAAAGAAAGGAGGCAGAUAACAGCAUGUCAGAGAAGAGUGAGGGCUGGCUGCUCCCUGAAGUACAGAGAUCCUGGAGUCAAGAGCAGUAGUACUGCCAAGAAGGUGCUGCUAUCGUUCGUUCCAAUACUUCUCCCUCCUGGAUUGGAAGUGGGAGAGGCUUUUGGCAGUCGUUGCCACUGAUGGCUUAUAGGAGGCCUCCUGAGAUUAUUCUUGAGGUAACUGCUGGCCCUUCCCAGGAAGUCAAGGGCACGUCUUCAUCAAGUUGCCUGUGGCCAUCUUUCCCACAGCAGUUACGAUAAACCAUGGAAUUCCAGCAACAGCGUACCACGCAGACAACAUCUCCAGUGCUCUGGAUUCUUCAGUUACAUAAGGCUGCAAGUGCUGAGCAACUGGGGCCACCCAGAGUACACCUGUGUGUAUCAGUUCAGGCUCCACAGUGAUCCAGCCCAUGACAGUGACGCUAGGGGAAAGCUAUGCGGUUUACUUCAGAAUAAAUAACUUUUCCCAUGUUGAGUUUCUUUUGUCCAUCACACUAACUGUUAAGAGAUCUCCCUGUCUUCAUCUUGACCCACGAGUUUUUUCAUCCCCUGUUCUCCUGCUCUCCUUUUUGGGAGGAGGAGGGAGUGAGUAGCUGGUGGGAGUUAGGCCCUUGUCUAAGGCUAGGCCAGCACAACCACAUAUUAGGCCAAAACCUGCACAGAAGUUGAGUGGACAGCCACAGUUAUUUCUGAGAGCGUUGAGGACAGGUACUUAUGCUGGGAAUAAUAAGCCUUUGUGCUUGUCCUUGUGGUCUCCGGGCUCCAGAAGAAUCAAAGAAUCAUUUAGGUUGCAAAAGACCUUCAACAUCACUGAGCCCAACUGUGUGCUUCUGUAUUUUUGUUACUUACUAAGUGGCCAACCUGGUCCUCUGGCAUGCAAGUCAAAAACUCCAGUGUGUGCAGCCACUUACUGAAGCCAUUCAGUACUCCAUGCUAUCCUUUUUUUUGUCCUGUGGUGCCCCAAACUGUACUCAGAGAUUGAGGUAGUGCCACACCACUGCAGUGUACUGAUUUGAAGAAAUCAAUGUGUAUGAACUUAACAGCAGCACUUUCUUACCAUUAAGCAAGGUAUUCUUUAUUGGCAGAGCUGGGAUGGCAUUGGGAUAACUCUUGAAGAAUGCUCACCAGCUGAUUGUUCAUGAACAGGUUAUGUUUUUACAUGUAUUAGAUAUUCAUUAUAUUCCCAAAUUUAUUAUCCUAUUCACUCCCAGCGACUGCCCAACAGACAUAGCUUCAUUUGGCAAUCUCUGAUGUCAUCUAGCUUUCUAGCACCGUGAUGGUCCAUUGUUGGUUCACUUCCAGCCCUUUAAUGUGGGUCCAGGGUCAUUUACUUUCUCCCAACACUCCUUUUGUUCCAAAGAUUGCUGUGGAAAGCAAAGACAACAGGGGAAGUCUCUGCACACACAGAUAAAGAAGAUGAAGGGGAAGGUCUUGAUGCUGGCUGUCACACUGUGGGCUAAUUCCACCUGGCACGUGGCUCCUAGCGAUAAAGAUCCCAACAAACGGUUGCACAGCUUUUCCAUUGUUGUGUGCUUACAACACGCCUCCCCAUCUACAGUGCUCCCUCCGCCCGGCUGGGAGUGCUGGGCCUGACGCACCCUAGGCUGCGGCGAGCAUUCCUGUCUGCCUGGGCGCACUGCUGACUGAUGCUCAGCGUACUAUCGAACGAG
ensembl:lncRNA